rnacentral:rRNA from 1 species
AUGAGGACAGAGCCCAAGCAUUGGGCUAGGGCUUUCUUACCAGUUGGGGCAAAAUGUGAAUCGGUUGACAACAACCUUUGUGAAUCAUUCAACAAUGCUAUUAUAGAAGCUAGGUUCUACCCCAUUAUUUCACAGCAAGAGAAGACCAGGAAGAAAGUGUAUGUUAGAGUUCAAGAGCAGAGAGCCAAAAGUGACAACUGGAAGGGCACAAUUUGCCCAAACAUUUUCAAAAAACUCAAGGCUAGUAUCAAAAGAACUCAAUUUUGUGAGGUCCUCUGGAAUGGCAAGGAGGGCUUUGAGGUCAAGCAUCUGACUGGGAGAGGCAGGAGGUACACAGUAAAUCUGAGAAUAGGACUUGUUCUUGUGGUUACUUUCAGUUGGCAGCACUGCCUUGCACUCAUGCCAUAUGUGCUAUCUAUAAAUGUGGGAAAAAGUGGGAAGAUUACAUUGACAACUGCUACUCCAUUGAAACUUUCAAGAAGAUUUAUGAGCACUGUCUGCAACCUGUUGAAGGAGAGGAAAAUUGGCCUGUGUCCCAAAACCCUAGGCCAGUUGCACCUGGCUACAUUGCCAUGCCAGGGCAAAGGAAAAAGAACAAUGACAGGAGGAGAGAAGAGGGUGAAGCACCAAAGGGUAAGAAACUGA